GAUGAACGCUGGCGGCGUGCCUAAUACAUGCAAGUCGAGCGAAUGGAUUGAGAGCUUGCUCUUAUGAAGUUAGCGGCGGACGGGUGAGUAACACGUGGGUAACCUGCCCAUAAGACUGGGAUAACUCCGGGAAACCGGGGCUAAUACCGGAUAACAUUUUGAACCGCAUGGUUCGAAAUUGAAAGGCGGCUCCGGCUGUCACUUAUGGAUGGACCCGCGUCGCAUUAGCGAGUUGGUGAGGUAACGGCGCACCAAGGCAACGAUGCGUAGCCGGCCUGAGAGGGUGAUCGGCCACACUGGGACUGAGACACGGCCCAGACUCCUACGGGAGGCAGCAGUAGGGAAUCUUCCGCAAUGGACGAAAGUCUGACGGAGCAACGCCGCGUGAGUGAUGAAGGCUUUCGGGUCGUAAAACUCUGUUGUUAGGGAAGAACAAGUGCUAGUUGAAUAAGCUGGCACCUUGACGGUACCUAACCAGAAAGCCACGGCUAACUACGUGCCAGCAGCCGCCGUAA
rnacentral:rRNA from 1 species